AAACUUUCAACAACGGAUCUCUUGGUUCCCGCAUCGAUGAAGAGCGCAGCGAAAUGCGAUAAUUAAUGUGAAUUGCAGGCAUCGUGAAUCAUCGAGUUCUUGAACGCACAUUGCGCCCUGUGGUAUUCCGCAGGGCAUGCUUGUUUGAGCGUCGUU
rnacentral:rRNA from 1 species